UAAAUUUAUAAUUACUGGCCACAGACAGUAGGCGGGGAAACCCUUAAUAUCCUACCGAGGUCAAAAUAAGGUAAAACUAUUACCUAUUUGAUGUUCUGUGGUUAUUCACAGAACUUUUUCGUUAUUAAC
rfam:Candidatus Melainabacteria bacterium GWF2_37_15 gwf2_scaffold_5242, whole genome shotgun sequence.